rnacentral:piRNA from 1 species
UGAGAGGAACAGUAAUGACCUUGGGC